AAUGAACUGGGGCCAAACUGUAGAGAGCUUGGAUGAGUACCUUAGUGCAAAGAUGAAUACUUUAGUCAAUCUGUCCUUACUCCUUAACUUCGCUCCUCUUCGUUGUCCCCAAUGCUUUGUGCUCUGGUACCAGACAUUUCACAAUUGGCCAACUGUUAUCCACUUUCUCCAUCCCUACCUUAUAUGUGGAAGAAUGGAACUAACCCCAACAAGCUUCAUCAGCCACCUUUGAUUUCCCGAAGCCAAUCAGCAGGGCUUAUCUACCUAUUCACAGGAAUUGGUUCAGGGACAGACCUAGCAGACUGCUGGAGCCAGCUCCCAGGGGCUUCAGAGAGUCCACUGUGGGCCCCUCUACCGCACGCUGGGUCCAGGGACAUCACAUUGGUAGUUUGAAAUCAGCCAUGACGGGGAGAGGAAAUUGCUAGACAUUCAUCUAUCUGUAUACUACUUGGAUGAACCACACCUAAUUUAGGUCCAUGAGAAGUGAGGAGAUAUUUAAUCAGAGUUUGGAGAAACCAUGGAAAAAGAUUCUAUUCUUUUGUGUAGGGAGAGUUAUAAAGAAAUUGGAUCUAAGACUACUAAAGCCAUUUUGGCCAUCAAAGGACCUAACCAGAGGAUAGAGUUGACACACAGAGAAGAGCUGCUCUGAAAGGAUCAAAGAGGUCUGGAGUCAGAACGCUGAUGGUGUGGACUUCUGAAUCCACCCCCAAAGCCCGUAUGCCUCUUCACUUUUCAGUUAAAUGAGCCGAUAAAGUCCCUGUUUUAAAACCA
rnacentral:lncRNA from 1 species